GAUGAACGCUGGCGGCGUGCCUAAUACAUGCAAGUCGAGCGAACAGACGAGGAGCUUGCUCCUCUGACGUUAGCGGCGGACGGGUGAGUAACACGUGGAUAACCUACCUAUAAGACUGGGAUAACUUCGGGAAACCGGAGCUAAUACCGGAUAAUAUAUUGAACCGCAUGGUUCAAUAGUGAAAGACGGUUUUGCUGUCACUUAUAGAUGGAUCCGCGCCGCAUUAGCUAGUUGGUAAGGUAACGGCUUACCAAGGCAACGAUGCGUAGCCGACCUGAAAAGGUUGACCGCCACACUGGAACUGAGACACGGUCCCAACUCCUACGGGAGGCAGCAGUAGGGAAUCUUCCGCAAUGGGCGAAAGCCUUACGCAGCAACGCCGCGUGAGUUAUGAAGGUCUUCGGAUCUUAAAACUCUGUUAUUAGGGAAGAACAAAUGUGUAAUUAACUAUGCACUUCUUGACGGUACCUAAUCAGAAAGCCACGGCUAACUACGUG
rnacentral:rRNA from 1 species